rnacentral:rRNA from 1 species
AUUGAACGCUGGCGGCAGGCCUAACACAUGCAAGUCGAACGAGUGGCGGACGGGUGAGUAAUGUCUGGGAAACUGCCUGAUGUAGGGGGAUAACUACUGGAAACGGUAGCUAAUACCGCAUACCCUCAGAUGUGCCCAUAUGGGAUUCGCUAGUUUGUGGGGUAAUGGCUCACCAAGGCGACGAGCCCUAGCUGGUCUGAGAGGAGGACCAGCAACACUGGAACUGAGACACGGUCCAGAGUCCUACGGGAGGCAGCAGUGGGGAAUAUGGCAAAAUGGGCGCAAGCCUGAUGCAGCCAUGCCGCGUGUAUGAAGAAGGCCUUCGGGUUGUAAAGUACUUUUAGCGGGGAGGCGUUACCCGCAGAAGAAGCACCGGCUAACUCCGUGCCAGCCGCAGCGGUAAUAC